rnacentral:rRNA from 1 species
UUUUCGGAGAGUUUGAUCCUGGCUCAGAGUGAACGCUGGCGGCGUGGAUUAGGCAUGCAAGUCGCGCGAUACUUAGUGAUGAGAGGUUGAAACCGCAAGGCGGAUGCCGAUUUGAUCUAGGAUAUAGCGGCAAACGGGUGAGUAACGCGUGAGUAACCUACCUCAAUACCGGGGAUAGCUUUGCGAAAGUAAGGGUAAUACCCGAUGUGUCUUUCCUGUAAUUGGGAAAAGGUAAAGCCUUAGCGUAAGCUAGGGUGUAUAGAGAUGGGCUCGCGUCCUAUCAGCUAGUUGGUAGGGUAAUGGCCUACCAAGGCGAUUGACGGGUAGCUGGUCUGAGAGGAUGGUCAGCCACACGGGGACUGAGAUACUGCCCCGACUCCUACGGGAGGCUGCAGUCGAGAAUCUUUAGCAAUGGACGAAAGUCUGACUAUGCGACGCCGCGUGAGGGAUGAAGGUUUUCGGAUCGUAAACCUCUUUCGAUGGGGAAGAAGUCCGCCAUUUAUCGUGGCGGAUUGACGGUACCUAGAGAAGAAGCCAUGGCCAACUCCGUGCCAGCAGCCGCGGUAAUACGGGGAUGGCGAGCGUUACUCGGAUUUACUGGGUGUAAAGGGCAGGUAGGCGGCCCUGAAAGUUGAAGGUGAAAUGCUUUGACUCAAUCAAAGAACUGCCUUCAAAACUACAGGGCUUGAGGAUUUGAGAGGAGAGCGGAAUUCCCGGUGUAAGGGUGAAAUCUGUAGAUAUCGGGAGGAACACCUGUGGCGAAAGCGGUUCUCUGGAUCGUAACUGACGCUGAAAUACGAAAGCUUGGGGAGCAAACAGGAUUAGAUACCCUGGUAGUCCAAGCCGUAAACGAUGGGCACUAGGUGUGGUACCGCAAGGUGCCGUGCCGCAGUUAACACGUUAAGUGCCCCACCUGGGGAGUACGGCG